AUAAAUGUACUCCACCAAAAUCAGAAGUAUUAUUAAAGUAGGAAAAAAUGUUUUAUUGAAAUAGUAGACCCCAGGUCUGACAAUAAGUUUACUAAGUAAAGACUAAAAUUUGGUAUAUAAAUUAUUAUUUGACUCCUAAUAUUUCACUGUGUUAGCUUUUUCUCACCCUACGAAUUUCAAUCCUCGUUACUCUUGUAAUGCUUGACUUAGGCCAUGUUUCUUGCAGGUAUCUGGUUAGGUUUCUAGUUGCUUUUUGGCCCAAAAAAAAAUCAAAAAUCGGAUUAAUAAAGAGAAACGAUUCUUGUUUUAGAUUUUUAAGGAUCGAUUCUACUUGUGUACGUGUCACGUUAUGAUAUGAUGUUGAAAUUUGGGGAAAAAAAUGGACUUCAUCAAUACUUUGUUUUCUCCGUCAAAAAUUUCUUUCUCUCGGUCGAUUCUUCUUCUCCUUCUCCGGUCUUCUUCUUCUCCGUCUUCUCCGAUCUUCGUCUUCUCCAAUCUUCGUCUUCUCCGAUCUUUUUCUUCUCUGAUCUUCUUCUUCCUCAGAUAUUUUAUUUCUCUAUUGAAGCGAUUCUUCUCUGAUCUUCACCACACCGUUAUUCCGUCAAAUUCUUCCCAUCAAACACUUCUCCUCUUGUCUUCCAAAUUCUGUUCGAAGCUUUGUCCUUCACCUUUCUCUUCUAUCUCUUUCCCGUCAAAUUUUUCCCCGAUUAAACACACACCUAAUAGAGUUUUUCCCAAUGUGUUUCUAAAAUUCAUGAAUUUUUUAUUGAGUUUCUUAUCUUAAGUUAAUUAAUAUAAUAUGCUUAAAGAAACCCAAAUUGUUUCCAGCGAUAAACAUGCCCUUAGGCGCUCUACUAGAGAUCGUUUGAGAGGUUGGAUAUUGGAACAAAGCUGUGUUUUUCGUUUGUCUACAAAUUACAACGGUUUACUGAUAAACAUUAAACAGUGAGAUCGGUUACUAAAUUGUUGCUAUGCAAAUGCU
rnacentral:lncRNA from 1 species